GAGUACUAAAAUUAAACACAGACACUGGAUUAUGGCAAUAUUUUUCAGGACUCAUUUGUGCCACAAAUGCCAGAUUUCACUAUACUGAUAUUGGAUUUCUCAGAUAUUUUGAAAAAGGAUGAGAUCAUGGACGUUCAAGCUGAGCCUACG